rnacentral:rRNA from 1 species
GACGAACGCUGGCGGCGUGCCUAAUACAUGCAAGUUGAGCGCUGAAGGUUGGUACUUGUACCCACUGGAUGAGCAGCGAACGGGUGAGUAACGCGUGGGGAAUCUGCCUUUGAGCGGGGGACAACAUUUGGAAACGAAUGCUAAUACCGCAUAAAAACUUUAAACACAAGUUUUAAGUUUGAAAUAUGCAAUUGCAUCACUCAAAGAUGAUCCCGCGUUGUAUUAGCUAGUUGGUGAGGUAAAGGCUCACCAAGGCGAUGAUACAUAGCCGACCUGAGAGGGUGAUCGGCCACAUUGGGACUGAGACACGGCCCAAACUCCUACGGGAGGCAGCAGUAGGGAAUCUUCGGCAAUGGACGAAAGUCUGACCGAGCAACGCCGCGUGAGUGAAGAAGGUUUUCGGAUCGUAAAACUCUGUUGGUAGAGAAGAACGUUGGUGAGAGUGGAAAGCUCAUCAAGUGACGGUAACUACCCAGAAAGGGACGGCUAACUACGUG